rnacentral:tRNA from 1 species
GGGAAUUUAGCUCAGUUGGUUAGAGCUACCCGCUCAUAACGGGUCGGUCGUUGGUUCGAGUCCAUCAAUUCCCACCA